GUAAACACUGGCCGUUGAAGAAUACGGUUUCUGAGAAUUUCCACUCUGAAUUCACAUUCCGUUCAGUGUUAUCGCCACCCUGUGGAUUUCUUGGCUACCUCGCUGGCUUUGAGCACAACCCAGGAAGAAGUUUGAAACCAAGAAAAUGGUGGUUGGGAAGACCAGGAUGCGCAAUGGCAAGUGCUGACAACUCUGGAAUACACAGUAGGCACCCAAUACAUACAAGGGAGUAAAUGAAUGAAUUAAAGCUGUCUGUAUCUGCUGAUCAUCCACAAUUUAGACGUCCUAUACUACAUUCCAAAUAUUGGAUGGAGAAAUGGAUUCAGAUGGAGGCAUCAUUGAGCUUAUUCUUGACUCAUCUCAGUCCAAACAUUACUCUGUCAAUCGUUGUUCUUAAAAUCUGCAUAUUAAAAGCUCAGCAUCAA
rnacentral:lncRNA from 1 species